CCCCUGGCCACCCCGACAAGCUUCGCCGAGGUGCCGACCGACCGACUGAUCGCGGACGCCGGCUGGAAGGACUACGGAUCCGCAGGAAGAGACAGUGGGGGGCCAGGGGCCCAGUAGAGGAGGCUGAGCUCCUUCCAACUUCUCAGAACCUCCACUCUAUGGAUCUGGACCUCUGGAUUCGGCUUUCUCCCUGGGCACUGCCUUCAGGAAGACGUUGAGAAUUGACCUUACACAAUCCCAGCGCCCUCCUCACAGGAGCCUUUCACUUCACAGUGGCGAGGGGCUGGUUCUGGGGAACUGGCUGAUGCUCUGAAUUUCUUCAUAUACCCCACAUUUGACUUUGGCUUACACUGUACAAUUGGAGAUGUUGCUACAGGUCCCUGAGAUGCAAUCAGAUUAAGCGUAGCAAGCAUUGCCAAUGGGAAAGUCAAAAUAAUUUAUUUUUUUCGCUUUCCCCCUACCCCAUCCCCAGCCAAGAAUGUCUUUUAAAGAUAUCGUCAUCAUUCUUAAACAACAUUCUUAACCCCCAGCUGGGGUCCCCAUUUUAGUAGAUGUCAUUGCUUCAAGUCUAACGGCGCCGGGAGGCCUGUUUGAGGGAAAACAUUAGUUUGAAAAAUCCCCGU
rnacentral:lncRNA from 1 species